rnacentral:snRNA from 1 species
AUAUCUUCAAAAACAAAAUUC